AUCGCCUAGAUUAAGAACUUCAGUUGCACCCUGACUUCAUCCACCGCAUCGCCAAGAAUGGCCCACACACCGCACCGUCUGCGUACGCCUGCGUCCUUAAGAACUCCCAAUUUCCCCCAAGUCUGCGAAAGGUAAACAGACUCCGGAGCCGCCUUUGGGCAAUUUUUUGUAACGGAAGUGGAGAGACCGACACGGAGGCGGCGGCUGUGGUCCCACGGCCAGACCCAAGGUCCCUCAGAGCGUGUCCACACGUCUUCGCCAGCAGAGACCCACCGGCGAGCUGUCCGGUCCGCGCCUCCGCGCCCAACGGCCAGCCCGGGAGCCCCUAGCUCGCGGCCUCCGACGCGCACCUCCGGAGAACAGUGAAAAUCUCACUUCAGAUGGAAUCUUAACGGAAAGCCAGAAAUGAAUGGAAACUGAAUAAUAGCAGAGCUGCUUUGGAUGCUAAGAGCUGUCGUCAGAGUUUCCAAGAAUUAAUGGCAUUGCCCAUAGGAUUCACAACCACUGUCCUGGGGGAUGUGGGCCAAAGAAGACUGGGUUUGGACCUGGCCAUUCGGCUCCAGAGCCCCUUUGGACAAAUGAAGAUUCCAGAGACUUGAGUCCAGCCAACUUUCUCUUUCCACUCAGAAGACUCAUCUAGUAGUGCUCUUUCAACUUUUAAGUAUGAGAAAAAUGAAGGAACUGGAGACUUCUGUUUCUACUCAGUAGCUGUAAUAAGAAAUCUGCAUAUUGGACUUGCAUCUUGAGAGGUUUCGGUGAAAAGCCUUUAACUGAUGGUAAUUUGUGAGUUGGAAAAAAAAAACUUUGCUCAUCUGACAAGAACAUUUGAUAAAUGGUUGGCAGGGAAAUGAGCUGCCUAAUUCCCGGGAGAGUGACUGAUUUAGGACUCCAGUGCUGUGCUCUGAAUCCACCAGCACCCAGUUCGUGGGCAUAUUUCCAAAGGCUGCUUGCUCCCAGGCAAUGACUGAGCACAGCAGAAGACUAUGACAGACCUGUUCCUGAAGGGUGACUUUGGCUGAAGGACUCCGUGAUGACCUUGAUGAAGUGUCUUAGAACUGUCCUGUAAAAGGAGGAGAAGAAACUAAUGAAGGAAGAGAUUAACAAGUAGCCCCCAAGGUCACUGAGGAAAAGAAUAAAAUUUUACUCAUACCAAGAUACAGAGAGCUUAUAGAUAUUUACACAGUAUAAAGGUAUGUCAGGUAGGUAAUUAAUGAAAAUAUCAUCGGUGUUUUUUGUUUGUUUUUGGUGACUUUUUUCAGUCUUAUUAGUUAGCUUUUUCUAAUUUGCAAUUUGUUCUAAGUUAUUUUCUCUUUCUAAUUUUAUAUUAAAUUGCAUACAUCAUUUUGUAUUCAUAAUUGCCUAUUCUCUUUCUUAAAACAGCCCCCAAAUUACAUAAACUUUAGGCCUCACAAGACCUGAAUUCACCCUGCUUAUAAUGUCCAAUUUUUCAAGAACAAAUAAAUAUUCAAA